AAUCAACGCUGGCGGCGUGCCUCAGACAUGCAAGUCGAACGCGAAAGUCCCCUUCGGGGGGCGAGUAGAGUGGCGCACGGGUGAGUAACACGUAGGUAAUCUACCCCCGAGUGGGGAAUAACUCAGGGAAACUUGAGCUAAUACCGCAUAAUGCAGCGGCACCACAUGGUGACAGUUGUUAAAGCAUUUAUGCGCUUGGGGAGGAGCCUGCGGCAGAUUAGCUAGUUGGUAAGGUAAUGGCUUACCAAGGCUACGAUCUGUAACCGGCCUGAGAGGGCGGACGGUCACACUGACACUGAAUAACGGGUCAGACUCCUACGGGAGGCAGCAGUCGGGAAUUUUGGGCAAGUGGGCGAAAGCCUGACCCAGCAACGCCGCGUGAAGGA
rnacentral:rRNA from 1 species